GGGCGUGUAGCUCAGUGGAUAGAGCACCAGAUUCCGGUUCUGGGUGUCGGGAGUUCGACUCUCUCCACGCUCG
rnacentral:tRNA from 2 species